CCGGAGUAUCUCUUAUUUUAAAACGGCUAGAUUUUUUUUCUUUCAACUUUUUUUUCCCCUCCUAAAAAUGAGACCGCCUUCACAGGAUUGACUGAGAUAGAGUUAGAAGCCACUAGAUCUUUUGGAAAAAUAACUACCAUUGCUGUUCUAGGAGUUACAGUUACCCGAGAACUGUGUGAACACUACGUGGAGCAUACUCUGGUUUCUCUUCAGAUCGUAUAAAUCUUUCGCCUUUUACUAAAGAUUUCCGUGGAGAGGAACAAUUCUGAGUGUUUACCCAAUUUUUUGAGGCCUUGCGUUUGCAGGGCUUACUAAUACGUGUAAAAAAAUAGAGUUGAUCGGGGAAUAUAUUUUUGCCAAGUACUUUAUACGCAGAAGUCACUUUCUUCGGGAGUUUAGUUUUGUGGUCUUACUCUUUUUUCCGUUUUGUGCUUCACGUUUUUGAAAAACUUUUUUUGUUUAGUGCUUAUUGGUUGUUCUUUUAUGUCAGUUUUAAUUCAGGGAGUGAAGUUCAGGUUUUUCUGCCAUUGGUCAUUUUUGUUACCAAGCUGAACUAUCCGCCGUAUGUUAACAUAAAACUUGGACUGUUUUGUAUUAGCUUCAGUUGAAGUAAGUUCCUCAUCAAAUUUCCUAUCUGGACUUCAGGAGAAGCCAAGUCUUAAACGCAGCGUGGGACCAUCUGAGUUAGUCACUCUUGCACCUGUGCAGUAACCCAGUUUCACGUGGUUCUGUGAAAUCUACACUUUUUCCUGCAGGGUUUCUCACCCGUACGCAUUUUAAGGAAAUUGCCAUUUUCCCCUGCCCGACUAGCCGACCAAUUUCUUCGCUUGGGUAAACUGAAGAACGAGUUGGGUGUGUGGAUCUACCUACACUGUUUAAAGGGUUAAUCUAGGCAUAAGGAAGGUCAUUCCCAUGGUGGGUUGUGUUAUUACUCUGCCUGCUAGGUUCUCUUUAGAAAAAUGUUCAUGUCUCAGGCGUGGCUUGGAUGGUGCAGCUGGUUCUCACGGAGUUGUGUGGCGUUUACGUUGUAGAGGCAAUGCUGACCGCCAAUGGAGGAAGGAGAGGAUGAAAGCCUUAACCCGAUGGAGGAAAGCUGAAACUCAGUUUGAGGGAAGGCUGGGCCCGCCUCAGACUAACAAUAUCAGAACCGGUGAUGCCCUCUUGUGGCCGCUUGGAGAGUUACUGCCAUCUGACUUCAUUUCCUCUGAUUUGAUGGACAAUUUCCUCCCAAUACUUAAGUCAUUAAUUCUUGUAUGCCAGACAUUGUUUGGGAAAUAUUAGUAAAGAACAAAAACA